CAACCGCAAAACAAGCAGAGGGGGCUUAGUGGUGGGGUGACUGCGUACCUUUUGUAUAAUGGGUCAGCGACUUAUAUUCUGUAGCAAGGUUAACCGAAUAGGGGAGCCGGAGGGAAACCGAGUCUUAAUUGGGCGUUAAGUUGCAGGGUAUAGACCCGAAACCCGGUGAUCUAGCCAUGGGCAGGUUGAAGGUUGGGUAACACUAACUGGAGGACCGAACCGACUAAUGUUGAAAAAUUAGCGGAUGACCUGUGGCUGGGGGUGAAAGGCCAAUCAAACCGGGAGAUAGCUGGUUCUCCCCGAAAGCUAUUUAGGUAGCGCCUCGUGAAUUCAUCUCCGGGGGUAGAGCACUGUUUCGGCUAGGGGGCCAUCCCGGCUUACCAACCCGAUGCAAACUGCGAAUACCGGAGAAUGUUAUCACGGGAGACACACGGCGGGUGCUAACGUCCGUCGUGAAGAGGGAAACAACCCAGACCGCCAGCUAAGGUCCCAAAGUCAUGGUUAAGUGGGAAACGAUGUGGGAAGGCCCAGACAGCCAGGAUGUUGGCUUAGAAGCAGCCAUCAUUUAAAGAAAGCGUAAUAGCUCACUGGUCGAGUCGGCCUGCGCGGAAGAUGUAACGGGGCUAAACCAU
rnacentral:rRNA from 1 species